rnacentral:lncRNA from 1 species
AAAGACUCUAAGUGACAAAACAACAAAUUUCAAAUCUGAGUCUUUGCAAUAACUUGUCCCAUCAACUAUUACGUGUCAACCAAGUCAUUAAUUCCCUUCCUUAUCGAGAAGAUAAAUCUUUUGACUUCGCCACCUUCUCAAAACCUAUUCACUACACCAAUGCUUAUUUCCCUAAAUAUCUUAGUUCUCAAGAAAAAUAAAAUCUUUUCUCAAAUAUAAGUAGUAUAAUGUGCAUUAAAUAGAUAUGACAAAUGAAAACUAGCUUUGACCAAUACUCUUUCCUAUUUAAAUCGAGUCAAUCCUUCUCCUCUCUAACACUUCUACUCUUCCGAAAAUUAUCUACUUCCUUCUCUCUUGAAUGCCCACUCCAAUACUUAUUGACUCUUCAAGCUGUCAAUCGUCCAAACCAAUGAAACCACAUCCUGAACCUCCAAAUCAACAUCAUCAUCUUAUCUUUGGAUCAAGAUGCAUAUGACAAUCAAACAUUCCUUCUGAUUUGCUUACUCAGAACUUACUUGCCUUAAGCGAGUAGCAAUCCCACCUAAGUUACACCCUUCUCCACCUAACCUUGCCUUACUACAUCACCAUUUCCUUCCUUUUUUCUGCUAUCUCCCUCAUUCAUUUCACACCAAUCCUUCCUCGUCUUCCUCCUCCACGACUCAACCAUUCCAAUUCCAUGUCCACAUUUUCUCAUCCAACCCUUCUCUUUCCUAUCCAUUCCUUAACCUUUUCCUCCUCCACUCUCAUCAUCACCAUUUUCUAUCAUGAUUCGUCAACAAUGAUACCUACAUUGUCGUCUUCCACUCUGUCGAGCGUUGAUGUUAUCCUUCUCCACUUACCUCUUUUGAUGUUUAUUAAAUAAGAGGGAGAAGAGAUAGACACGUCAACAUGUUGGAGAAUGAACUCAGGGGGAGUACACUAGACAAUAGGUUAGAAUAGGAUAACAUAGAAUCAGAGGGAGUCUCUAGAUUCUUAGAAUUUCUCAUGCAUAACAUUGUACACAUUCAUGUUAAUGUAGUUUGAUAUGUUUAUGUUAAUGCAUUUAAAUAUCUGAUUUUAUGUGUAUUAAUAUAUGCUCUGAUUAUCUGAUAUAUGUUG